GAUCCUGGCUCAGGAUGAACGCUAGCUACAGGCUUAACACAUGCAAGUCGAGGGGCAGCAUGAACUUAGCUUGCUAAGUUUGAUGGCGACCGGCGCACGGGUGAGUAACACGUAUCCAACCUGCCGAUGACUCGGGGAUAGCCUUUCGAAAGAAAGAUUAAUACCCGAUGGCAUAGUUCUUCCGCAUGGUAGAACUAUUAAAGAAUUUCGGUCAUCGAUGGGGAUGCGUUCCAUUAGGUUGUUGGCGGGGUAACGGCCCACCAAGCCUUCGAUGGAUAGGGGUUCUGAGAGGAAGGUCCCCCACAUUGGAACUGAGACACGGUCCAAACUCCUACGGGAGGCAGCAGUGAGGAAUAUUGGUCAAUGGACGAGAGUCUGAACCAGCCAAGUAGCGUGAAGGAUGACUGCCCUAUGGGUUGUAAACUUCUUUUAUAUGGGAAUAAAGUAUUCCACGUGUGGGAUUUUGUAUGUACCAUAUGAAUAAGGAUCGGCUAACUCCGUG
rnacentral:rRNA from 1 species